ACGCCCCCGAAAUUGUGCUUCAACUUGGCGGAAGACUCACAACUCACGAGGGCGCAGGCUCAUAACUUAAAAAGAGUUUAGCAUAUGUACAUACGGAAACAACACCCCCGCCAUAAGC
rnacentral:ncRNA from 1 species